rnacentral:lncRNA from 1 species
GGAUGAUGUGAGUAGGAUGGAUGGAUGAUGCAGGAUGGAUGUUCAUGAGUCCAGCUUGGCAAGCACUGCAGCUUUCCUAUGUGAGCAAGACUCGAGCCGAUCAUGCUUCUGGUGUGCUCUAUGUUUCUAUCUCUGGUGUCAGAAGAGGGAACUGAAGGAGAUCCCCUGGUGGCCCCCUGAAGUGCUCCGUCAAUCUGUGCAAAUGUGUGUUUUGUGGAGUUAUCUUACUCCAGACAAGAUGUUCUUGGCUGAACUUCAGGACAUCCUGAUUCUGUUUACAGACGACUUCUGUAACCAAAAGUACUCAAGGGACAACACCUCCAUUCAUGAACUCAGCAACUGCAUUAGGCCAUACCAGGCUGGCACUUCAGUUGCAGUAGUCAACAUCACUGGUGUCAAGUGA